rnacentral:rRNA from 1 species
CGGCGAGUGAAGAGGGAAAAGCUCAAAUUUUGAAUCUGGUGUCUUUGGCGCCCGAGUUGUAAUCUAGAGAAGUGUUUUCCGCACCGGACCGUGCACAAGUUCCCUGGAACGGGGCGUCAUAGAGGGUGAGAAUCCCGUAUAUGGCACGGACUACCGGCGCUCUGCGAUACACUCUCAACGAGUCGAGUUGUUUGGGAAUGCAGCUCAAAAUGGGUGGUAAAUUCCAUCUAAAGCUAAAUAUUGGCGAGAGACCGAUAGCGAACAAGUACCGUGAGGGAAAGAUGAAAAGCACUUUGGAAAGAGAGUGAAACAGUACGUGAAAUUGUUGAAAGGGAAGCGUUUGAAGUCAGUCGCGUCUGGCGGGAUUCAGCCUGGCUUCUGCCUGGUGUACUUCCCGUCCGACGGGUCAGCAUCGGUUUCGACCGAGAGAAAAAGGCUUGGGGAAUGUGGCCGUCCUCGGGCGGUGUUAUAGCCCCUUGUCGUAUGUCUCGGUUGGGACCGAGGACCGCAGCGCGCCUUACGGCCGGGGAUCGCUCCCUCGGUACGCGCUUAGGAUGCUGGCAUAAUGGCUUUAAGCGACCCGUCUUGAAACACGGACCAAGGAGUCUAACAUGUGCGCGAGUGUUUGGGUGUCAAACCCGAGCGCGUAAUGAAAGUGAACGGUCGGGAUCACGUACGUGUGCACCGACGCCCGGAGCAGACCUUCUGUGACGCAUCCGCGGUGGAGCGUAUAUGUUGGGACCCGAAAGAUGGUGAACUAUGCCUGAAUAGGGUGAAGCCAGAGGAAACUCUGGUGGAGGCUCGUAGCGAUUCUGACGUGCAAAUCGAUCGUCAAAUUUGGGUAUAGGGGCGAAAGACUAAUCGAACCAUCUAG